UGGAAGCGCCGUUACGGAAAGUACAAGUCCCCUGCCAAAUGGUUGUGCUAAGGAGCAGAGUGUAUGCGCAAAAUGCCAUUGCUGUGUGGAUCGUAUAGUGGGAAGAGAUUCUUCAGAAGUAGAAGCCAAGCAAAAAUUGCUUGACGA